GCGGAGUUGGACCUUCCAAACGCACUAAUUUCUUGCCUUUUACCAGAGAUUACCGUGGAACGGCCAAACAUACUCCGUUGCAAUAAUCUUUGGAACCUUCUGAAUUCAAU
rnacentral:snRNA from 1 species